rnacentral:rRNA from 1 species
ACUGAGACACGGCCCAGACUCCUACGGGAGGCAGCAGUGGGGAAUAUUGCACAAUGGGCGGAAGCCUGAUGCAGCGACGCCGCGUGAGGGAUGACGGCUUUCGGGUUGUAAACCUCUUUCAGCAGGGACGAAGCGUGAGUGACGGUACCUGCAGAAGAAGCGCCGGCCAACUACGUGCCAGCAGCCGCGGUAAGACGUAGGGCGCGAGCGUUGUCCGGAUUUAUUGGGCGUAAAGAGCUCGUAGGCGGCUUGUCACGUCGACUGUGAAAUCCCGCGGCUCAACUGCGGGCUUGCAGCCGAUACGGGCAGGCUAGAGUUCGGUAGGGGAGACUGGAAUUCCUGGUGUAGCGGUGAAAUGCGCAGAUAUCAGGAGGAACACCGGUGGCGAAGGCGGGUCUCUGGGCCGGAACUGACGCUGAGGAGCGAAAGCGUGGGGAGCGAACAGGAUUAGAUACCCUGGUAGUCCACGCCGUAAACGUUGGGCGCUAGGUGUGGGGAACCUUCCACGUUCUCCGUGCCGCAACUAACGCAUUAAGCGCCCCGCCUGGGGAGUACGGCCGCAAGGCUAAAACUCAAAGGAAUGA